GAUGAACGCUGGCGGCGUGCCUAAUACAUGCAAGUCGAGCGAACAGACGAGGAGCUUGCUCCUCUGACGUUAGCGGCGGACGGGUGAGUAACACGUGGAUAACCUACCUAUAAGACUGGGAUAACUUCGGGAAACCGGAGCUAAUACCGGAUAACAUGUUGAACCGCAUGGUUCAACAGUGAAGGACGGUCUUGCUGUCACUUAUAGAUGGAUCCGCGCCGCAUUAGCUAGUUGGUAAGGUAACGGCUUACCAAGGCAACGAUGCGUAGCCGACCUGAGAGGGUGAUCGGCCACACUGGAACUGAGACACGGUCCAGACUCCUACGGGAGGCAGCAGUAGGGAAUCUUCCGCAAUGGGCGAAAUCCUGACGGAGCAACGCCGCGUAAGUGAAGAAGGUCUUCGGAUCGUAAAACUCUGUUAUUAGGGAAGAACAAAUGUGUAAGUAACUAUGCACGUCUUGACGGUACCUAAUCAGAAAGCCACGGCUAACUACGUG
rnacentral:rRNA from 1 species